rnacentral:rRNA from 1 species
GUGCGAGACCGAUAGCGAACAAGUACCGUGAGGGAAAGAUGAAAAGAACUUUGAAAAGAGAGUUAAAGAGUACCUGAAACUGUUGAAAGGGAAUCGUAUCGUUUCCAGUGUCUUAUCCUUUACAUAUUUCAUCGACGGAUGCUUUUUGUAUUUGUUGGUGCCCUGUGUAUUGGUGUGACGUCAGAGUCAGUUUAUACGUUGCGGGAGAUGGUUGUCAAGGAGGUAUUCCAGACAUUUAUUUGUUUGGAUGUUAUAUCUUGGCAUACUAGUUGUCGUGGUUGAGACUGAGGUGCCUAC